UACGUAGGGUGCGAGCGUUAAUCGGAAUUACUGGGCGUAAAGCGUGCGCAGGCUGUUUUGUAAGUCAGAUGUGAAAUCCCCGAGCUCAACUUGGGAACUGCGUUUGAAACUACAAGACUAGAAUAUGUCGGAGGGGGGUAGAAUUCCACGUGUAGCAGUGAAAUGCGUAGAGAUGUGGAGGAAUACCAAUGGCGAAGGCAGCCCCCUGGGAUAAUAUUGACGCUCAUGCACGAAAGCGUGGGGAGCAAACAGG
rnacentral:rRNA from 1 species